rnacentral:rRNA from 1 species
CCUACGGGCGGCAGCAGCAAGGAAUUUUCUGCAAUGGGCGCAAGCCUGACAGAGCAACGCCGCGUGGGGGAUGACGCGCUUCGGUGUGUAAACCCCUUUUCCCUGGGACGAAGGACAUGACGGUACCAGGGGAAGAAGGACCGGCUAACUACGUGCCAGCAGCCGCGGUAACACGUAGGGUCCGAGCGUUGUCCGGAAUUACUGGGCGUAAAGCGCGCGCAGGCGGUCUGGUCAGUCGAUGGUGAAAGCCCCACGCUCAACGUGGGAAGGUCCGU